GGGGCUGAUCGGUUUCGACGUCGAGACGAGAAGUCGUGGUUGCGACUCGAGUUGCUCAGACUCGUUAAACGGGGCUCUUCAGAAGCGCCAACAAGGCUGACUUCGCUCUUGCUGCCUGAUUUUCAGGUGGUUUGAGGAACAUCGCGAGCCGUGAGGCCACGCGGGGUCGAAUCGCUGCAGCCCGGCAACAGAAGCAGUGAUGGACAGCGGGAGAGACCGCUGACGGCAGGCAAAGACCGCUGACUCCUGGGAAAGCCCAGGCGGUAGGAGCCCGAAGGGUUCCCCCUGACCCGGCAGACCGGCAGCCGUAAGGCCGAAACCACGGGAAUAGUCGUAGCGAACUCGAUGACUCCUCGACGGACGGGGGUUCGAUUCCCCCC
rnacentral:tmRNA from 1 species